AACUCCAGGGAGCUGAUGCUUCCAACCACUGCACGUUGCUCCCGGGCUGUCGCAGUCUCCUGUUGCCGCCAUCAUGUCCCGGCCCUCCACGGUGUUGGGUGCCAUGGAGAUGGGGCGCCGUAGUCACCCGCGCCUUCCUGGAGCACGGCCACACCAAGAUAGACACGGCCUUCGUGUACAGCGACAGCCAGUCCAAGACCAUCCUGGGUGGCCUGAAAAUUGAUACCAAGGCCAAUCCAUUGUUUGGGAACUCCCUGAAACCUGACAGUCUCCGGUUCCAGCUGGAGACGUCACUGAAGUGGCUGCAGUGUCCCCGAGUGGACCUCUUCUACCUGCUCAGGCCAGACCACAGCACCCCGGUGGAAGAGACACUGAGUGCCUGCCACCAGCUGCACCAGGAGGGCAAGUUCCUGGAUCUUGGCCUCUCCAACUAUGCCACCUGGGAAGUGGCCAAGAUCUGUAACCUCUGCAAGAGCAAUGGCUGGACCCUGCCCACUGUGUACCAGGGCAUGUACAACGCCACCACCCAGCAGGUGAAAACGGAGCUCUUCCCCUGCCUCAGGCACUCUGGACUGAGGUUCUAUGCCUUCAACCCUCUGGCUGGGGACCUGCUGACUGGCAAGUACAAGUAUAAGGACAAGGACAGGAAACAGCCCAUGGGCCGCUUCUUUGGGACUCAAUGGGCAGAGAUCUACAGGAAUCGCUUCUGGAAGAAGCACCACUUCGAUGGCAUUGCCCUGGUAGAGAAGGCCCUGCAGGCCGCGUAUGGCGCCAGCGCCCCCAGCAUGACCUCGGCUGCCCUCUGGUGGAUGUACCACCACUCACAGCUGCAGGGUGCCCACGGGGACGCAGUCAUCCUGGGCAUGUCCAGCUUGGAGCAGUUGGAGCAGAACUUGGCAGCGGCAGAGGAAGGGCCCCUGGAGCCAGAUGUUGUGGAGGCCUUUAAUCAAGCCUGGCAAUUGGUUGCUCACGAAUGUCCCAACUACUUCCACUAGGCCCAUCGUUUCUCAGGUUGCCCAAGGCUCUUCUGUAACCUCUUUUGUUUCUCACACUUUCUUUAAUUUAGAAGUGCCUCAGUAAAUUCUUAGGGAUGGAAGUAUUUGGACAAAAACCUAACAGUAAAGUCACCACCAAAUGAAGAAUGAAACCUCCUGGGGUGCUGUGUGUUAGUCUGUUUGCAUUGCUAUAAAAGAAUACCUGAGACCGGGUCAUUUAUAAAGAAAACAAACAAACAAAAACAACAACAACAAAAAAAAGAAAAAAGACAAAAAUGCAUGAUCAUUUUUUCCAAGUUUAAGUAGUGUUGCAAUUAGGUAAUCUUGAU